AGCCCCGUACACAAAAAUGCACAUACUGUGAGCUCGAUGAGUAGGGCGGGACACGUGGUAUCCUGUCUGAAUAUGGGGGGACCAUCCUCCAAGGCUAAAUACUCCUGACUGACCGAUAGUGAACCAGUACCGUGAGGGAAAGGCGAAAAGAACCCCGGCGAGGGGAGUGAAAAAGAACCUGAAACCGUGUACGUACAAGCAGUGGGAGCCUCUUUAUGGGGUGACUGCGUACCUUUUGUAUAAUGGGUCAGCGACUUAUAUUCUGUAGCAAGGUUAACCGAAUAGGGGAGCCGAAGGGAAACCGAGUCUUAACUGGGCGUUAAGUUGCAGGGUAUAGACCCGAAACCCGGUGAUCUAGCCAUGGGCAGGUUGAAGGUUGGGUAACACUAACUGGAGGACCGAACCGACUAAUGUUGAAAAAUUAGCGGAUGACUUGUGGCUGGGGGUGAAAGGCCAAUCAAACCGGGAGAUAGCUG
rnacentral:rRNA from 1 species